CUUUUUUUGUUUCUUCUUCUUGCAGCGGUGUUUUAUGUAUGAUUUUUAUAAAAAUCCGGUAUUACGGUAGUGAGGACAGAUUUUGCACUCGAGGAUUUGAAUAUCAAAGGCA
rnacentral:ribozyme from 1 species